rnacentral:rRNA from 1 species
AGUGAACGCUGGCGGUAGGCCUAACACAUGCAAGUCGAACGGCAGCACAGGAGAGCUUGCUCUCUGGGUGGCGAGUGGCGGACGGGUGAGGAAUACAUCGGAAUCUGCCCAGUCGUGGGGGAUAACGUAGGGAAACUUACGCUAAUACCGCAUACGACCUUCGGGUGAAAGAGGGGGCUCGCAAGACCCCUCGCGAUUGGAUGAGCCGAUGUCGGAUUAGCUAGCUGGCGGGGUAAUGGCCCACCAAGGCGACGAUCCGUAGCUGGUCUGAGAGGAUGAUCAGCCACACUGGAACUGAGACACGGUCCAGACUCCUACGGGAGGCAGCAGUGGGGAAUAUUGGACAAUGGGCGCAAGCCUGAUCCAGCCAUACCGCGUGGGUGAAGAAGGCCUUCGGGUUGUAAAGCCCUUUUGUUGGGAAAGAAAUCUUUCAGGCUAAUACCCUGGGAGGAUGACGGUACCCAAAGAAUAAGCACCGGCUAACUUCGUG